AGACAUGAUAGAGGCGCGGAUUUCAUCAGUACUUGAUGGGCGACAGUCGGGGGACUGCCCACGGGGAAAGGGAGAGCCGCCGAAGAGAUUGUUUCUUCCCAAGGGCAAUCUCUGGGACGCAGGCAGAAUAUGCUGCGGACUGUCACAUCAGUGGAGCGCUAUCGGUUCA
rnacentral:ncRNA from 2 species